ensembl:lncRNA
CCACAAUCCAGGUUUCUGUAAAUAAACAGUGUUAAAGCCCAGGAGGAAGGCUAUUAAAUGUGGAUUUUGCUUCAUUCCUACCACUUUCUUUGGAGGAAUUCUUAGCCCCUGAUGGGAUUGGCUCCAGUGAGCCCUCAGGGUUCAGGUGUAUAGUCAUCAGCCUUUAUCUAUUUAGGACUGGAAACUUCUACAGCCCAGCAUUUACUGACACAACAAAGGUUGGUCAGGCCUUAUUCAUGCAGCCUAAGGCACUGCAGGGGUGGCCACUCCUUGUGGUGGUGAUACUGAGCAAUGGGCUUGCUCUGCUGCCACGAUCUGAGCCAAUCAAUGGCUUCGAGUUAGGGAUCCAGAAAGGAAAUUUUAAUUCGAUUAACCGGCAUAAUCGGGAAGAUGGCAGAGUAAUAUCUCAAAAAAACCAUCUUCCAAAACUAUAGAAUCUUGAAGCGGUCAUAUAGGGAAAAUGGGCAGCAAGGAGGGGGUCCAGGGAUGUUGGUCUCCAGGCGUGACAGGUUGCAGGCAUCACAUUGUUCCACUCUUCUGUCAGCUGUGAUGGACACUUUGUAGGUGUGUUUCUCGCUUGUGGUCAGCCUGUUCCUGGAGAAGAACUCAUAGAACAAAGUUUUAAUUUAUCAAGCUGUUGGGGAGUACAUACCAUGGUAGCUGGACUGCAAAGGAGUCCCUGAAGGGAGCACCCAAAGAGAGAGCUUCCCCAGAGACCAUGGUAGAAGCCGAAAGAGCUCUUUUGCACUAAUCUCGGAAGUCACGGGAUCCCUUCCUCCACAUUUUGUGGCUAUAAACUAUUCACAGUGGCCACUCCAAAUUCAAAGGGAGAAGAAUUGGACUACACCUCUUGAAGGUGGAAUAACAAGAACACACAGCAGAAGAGCAUGGGAGACGUUCUUGCAAUCAUCUUUGGAAAAUACGGUUCUACAGCCUAACACUUGAGUGUGCGGUUCUGUGCAGACAGACAAUGAAGUUCAGGGCUGCAGGCCGCAGAUCUAAAGGCUGAUCCUGGGUCAGACACGAUCUGCCUAAAUGACCCUGGCAAAUUAUCUGGUCUCUUGUGCCUGUAACUACAUCUAUAAAACGUCAGAAAUAUUGACCUGUCCCCAAGUAGGUGAACUUUAAGAAACAGGCUUUGGAAAUCUUGGGAAGAAUGAUUUAAAAGUACCGCUUCCUGCUGGUGACCCAACCUAAGCAUAGUGUGUGGAGGAAUGCAAACGAUCAGCCUUUCCCAUGCAGUCGGCCGCACUGAAGUACUGUGGGUGACGAAAAUGGAUCUGUUGCCUAAGCUGGGUGUGGAAAAACCACGUGCCAGGCUGGAAAUCGAUGAAUUCACACCUUCUCUCUCGCUCCCUCAAGUUGGGCUGUGAUAUGAAUGACCUUUCCUAGAAGCAAAAGGAGGAAGAUGGAGUGUGACCACAGCGUCUGCUGAAUGUCAUUGAGAUGGUCACAUUCUCACUGACAGAUGGAGACUUGGGCAAAAGACCACUGAGGUGUGCACCUUCCUACCACCUUUGAACAGAACUCCCUCUGCUCUCGUCUCUGCAGCUAUAAGGUUUUCUCCCACCACAUGGAAAGGUGGCAGAAAGCCACAAUUCUGGAAAGAUGAGUGUUGUUCUAGAAAACUACCCUGACAUGCAACAGGCUCGUCAGCCCCA